CUGGUCCAAUAAGGGGGGCAACAUAUAAGGUGUCAGGGUAAGCCGGGUUCUUGACGCUGGUGGACGCCCACAAUAGCCUCUGCUUCUUGGCACCCUUUUUCACCAGAGCCUCCCAUCUGGGUCCGCUGAAUUUCUUUUGGGGUGUUUCAUUAUGUAUCAUAUUCACCUUUCCUCGGAGAUCAAGGGCCUCUGGUGUUCCAAUCUUCUCAAGCAUCUUGUCAACCAGUGUGUCCACCCGACUUACAAAGAAAGAAGCAACACUUGUAACUCUGGAGAGGUCACUUAGCCCAGAGGCCUCAAGGCCAUCCAAGUAAGCAUCAAUUACAGCUUCAUAUCUAGCGAGAGAGAAUAUGAGCUGUACAAAGACAUUAAAGAAAGCUUAGGAGCAUUUCUAGACUGCUCAUAAAUUCUCACCAACACACACGAGUUCAAUUUUACUGCUAAUGUACUUAGACGACAACAGAUUAAAGCCUUUAAUUCCACUAGAUGAGGUUGGCUCCAUAAAUUCUCAUCAAUCAUUUCUGCAGAGGAAAACAAAACUGCUAUACAAAAGGGCUAAUUUCAUGAACUUAUCCUAAAGGUGUUCACACCAAAGUCAAAGCCUGCCAGUUCAGAUCAGCUUGUUGACAAAUAUAUAACCCAUCAAAACAAAAUUACCCAAACAAGAAAGCAUCAAUCACUUUCACAUCAAAAUAUAUUAAUCUCUCAAUAGUUAAGAGGGAAAAGUAAGGUCUGUGGCUUGUCCAAAACAUCUGUGUACUCGAUGUCCAGCAACCAGGAAAGACCUUUUGUCAGGAAAAUGGUGUAAAAAAUAACAACCACCUGUGAGUCUUGUGGCUUGAGCUACCAAGAUUGUACCUAACACAAAUUUACAAAACCAUGUUGAUAAAAUAAAACCAAAAGAAAACAGGAUUCAUGACCUUUUAAACCUCCUCUUUCCAUUCUACUCCUAGCAUAUUUGGUCUAAUCAAGUCUAAUAUAUAUAUACAAUGUUGAAUAUGGAGUCCAAUAAUUUUACAUCCAUUUAAACAUCGCUGAACUGUGAGACCUCCAAUGCACAAAUGCUUCCUCCUCAUUCUUGAUCCUCUUCCAUUGUCUGGAGGAAAUUAUAGAACAAAAAAUGGCAAUAACUGAAGGAAUUAGAAGCCUUGACGACUAGAAGGCAAUAAAAAUUUGAGUUAGUGAUUGUAGGAUAUAUCGUUUAUUAUGCUGUCUUCUCUAUUAGUAGUUCAUAUAUUCUCCCCUUUAUCCUCAACACAGCUCCUGAAGAAGGCCAGCAAUGUCUGCAGGAUUGGGUUGUCUUCUUCAGCAACUUUUUCGCUUUCCAUUCUCUCCACAUAUAAGGAAUUGAUGCCUACUAAUGGUAUAAUGUUCCUCUGAUUCCCAACCUUAGGAUGGUGAUACACCUCAUUCCAGUCUGUCAAGGAAUGCUAUUGUUACCCAUGCAACAAAAAGACUUAUGUCACUCCUUAGGACAGUAUAAUGGAACUUCCUUUAAAGAAUAGUCACUCCUUGAAUUCAGUAUAGCUGAAUACACACAUAUAGUCAGAGAUAACAAAAGACCUAUGUCAAUCACCCUACCAGUAGAUGGAUGAAAGCAUCAAUACAUAGCUUUUUUACGGCCAUAUUUGUAAUGGGAUCAUACCUUUUCUGUGCAAUACAAACGUUUUAGGAAAAAGGUAUUGCAAAAAUUCAAAAACCAGAACAUGGAUCUGUGUAAUUUCAGUCAUGCUUGCGAUCUUUUCCUCAAAGAGAAAACAAGCAGAACCAUUAAUCAUAACAUAAUAUAUCUGAGGCUAGAUCAUCAUCCUCCUAUCAUUACCAAUCCCACAUUGAUAGUGUACUACGGAGGCUUAGAUAUAUCAGUUGAUCUAGUGUCCUGUAGUUGGUGUAACACCUACCGCCCCUGCAGUUGAUUCCCAACUACAACAAUGUGAUUGCUCUUGUGGAGUAACCUCACUAAUUAAUGUUGCAAUCUGGUUAUCUAAUCCCAACAUUACAAACAAAAAAAUAUAAGUGAAAAAUAGACAGUAAAAGAAAUCAAGACACUGGAAUCAAUUCUUUGGAUCAUUCUGUAAAUCCAAACUUAAUUCAAGUUUACAGUGAACUGAGAGAAGGUAAUAACUAAGCACGCUAUAAGAAAAAUCAAUGCCAUUAUUGAAAAAAACUAAUCCUUUUACACUUAAGAGACAUAGAAGCAUAAAAAAUGUAAAGAAUCAACUUACAGUAACAUUGACGCUUAUACCCAGUGAAAUAACUUCCUUAAUUGAGGGGAUGCAUUUGGCUGUGGCAGGGAUCUUUAUAUAGACAUUUGGGCGAUCAACCACUUUGUGAAGCCAUUUUGCUGCCUCAACAGUUCCCUCAGUAUCAUCAGCCAGCCUGGGAGAAACUUCAACAGAGACAUACCCAUCACCUCCAUCUGUUUGAUCAUAGAUUGGCUCAAAAAGUUUGCACGCAUCUUGGAUGUCCUUCACCACAAGUUCCCAAUAUGCACUUUCAAUAUCUUUUCCUGCUUCUGCAAGUUCUCUGCAAAUCCAACCAUUUAAGGCAGUUCAAGGGAUUGUGGCCUCCAACGCUCAAGGCUGGGCCUAUUGUGAGCUUAUGGAGGAUGAGAUAACCCAGUGAAGGGAGCGCAAGGUCUCAUGAGAUGGAAAGCGUCAGGAACUUAGGGGUCGACUGAGGUGGAUGGAGGCUGAGAAUGAGAGGUUGUGUGCCCAGCUGUCAGAGGCUCAGGUCGGCACCUCAGGCCUAUAUAGGGAGGUUCAGGAGCUUCGCCAAGGCCAGCUGGCUUGGGAACAAAAGUAUGGCGAGCUGCAGUCCACACAUGAGGACCUUCUUCAGGAGCACUCGCUGCGAGUAGCUGAAUUAACGGAAUGUUGGGAAUGGGCCUACAACUUCAUUGUUGGUAAGUUUCUUUAUAUUGUGAUUUAUCUUGGAUAAUUCACGCAGGCAAUUAUUGAGCCCAAGUUAAUCUCAUAAUCCGCUCUUAAUUAUUAAUAUCAUGAAGAAAUUAUAUAAUCAACAGUACCUGAACUGUUCAUUGUAAGCAUCUGAAGUUGAUAUGGCUUUCUGGAAAAUCUGCAAUGAUAAU